UACGUAGGCCGCAAGCGUUGUUCGGAAUUACUGGGCGUAAAGAGUGUGUAGGCGGUGUUCUAAGUUUGUCGUGAAAUCUCCCGGCUUAACUGGGAGGGUGCGGUGAAAACUGGAAUGCUAGAGGAUGGGAGAGGUAAGCGGAAUUCCUGGUGUAGCGGUGAAAUGCGUAGAUAUCAGGAGGAACACCUGUGGUGUAGACAGCUUACUGGACCAUUUCUGACGCUGAGACACGAAAGCGUGGGUAGCAAACAGG
rnacentral:rRNA from 1 species